rnacentral:rRNA from 1 species
GACGUAGGGCGCGAGCGUUGUCCGGAUUUAUUGGGCGUAAAGAGCUCGUAGGCGGCUUGUCGCGUCGUCUGUGAAAUCCCGCGGCUCAACCGCGGGUCUGCAGUCGAUACGGGCAGGCUAGAGUUCGGUAGGGGAGACUGGAAUUCCUGGUGUAGCGGUGAAAUGCGCAGAUAUCAGGAGGAACACCGGUGGCGAAGGCGGCCCCCCUGGUUGGAUACUGACGCUGAGACGCGAAAAGCGUGGGGAGCAAACAGG